GAUCCUGGCUCGGGAUGAACGCUAGCUACAGGCUUAACACAUGCAAGUCGAGGGGCAGCAUGGUCUUAGCUUGCUAAGGCUGAUGGCGACCGGCGCACGGGUGAGUAACACGUAUCCAACCUGCCGUCUACUCUUGGCCAGCCUUCUGAAAGGAAGAUUAAUCCAGGAUUGGGAUCAUGAGUUCACAUGUCCGCAUGAUUAAAGGUAUUUUCCGGUAGACGAUGGGGAUGCG
rnacentral:rRNA from 1 species